AUUGAACGCUGGCGGCAUGCCUUACACAUGCAAGUCGAACGGCAGCGCGGGGCAACCUGGCGGCGAGUGGCGAACGGGUGAGUAAUAUAUCGGAACGUACCCUGGAGUGGGGGAUAACGUAGCGAAAGUUACGCUAAUACCGCAUACGAUCCAAGGAUGAAAGCAGGGGACCGCAAGGCAUUGUGCUCCUGGAGCGGCCGAUAUCUGAUUAGCUAGUUGGUGGGGUAAAGGCCUACCAAGGCAUCGAUCAGUAGCUGGUCUGAGAGGACGACCAGCCACACUGGAACUGAGACACGGUCCAGACUCCUACGGGAGGCAGCAGUGGGGAAUUUUGGACAAUGGGCGCAAGCCUGAUCCAGCAAUGCCGCGUGAGUGAAGAAGGCCUUCGGGUUGUAAAGCUCUUUUGUCAGGGAAGAAACGGUGGAGGCUAAUAUCCUUUGCUAAUGACGGUACCUGAAGAAUAAGCACCGGCUAACUACGUGCCAGCCGCCGCGGUAACAC
rnacentral:rRNA from 1 species